AUUGAACGCUGGCGGCAGGCCUAACACAUGCAAGUCGAGCGGGGGUAGCAAUACCCUAGCGGCGAACGGGUGAGGAAUGCUUGGGAAUCUGCCUGGUAGUGGGGGAUAACGUUCCGAAAGGAACGCUAAUACCGCAUACGUCCUACGGGCGAAAGGGGGGGAGCUUCGGACCUCUCGCUAUCAGAGGAGCCCAAGCGGGAUUAGCUAGUUGGUGAGGUAAAGGCUCACCAAGGCGACGAUCCCUAGCUGGUCUGAGAGGAUGAUCAGCCACACUGGAACUGAGACACGGUCCAGACUCCUACGGGAGGCAGCAGUGGGGGAUAUUGGACAAUGGGCGAAAGCCUGAUCCAGCCAUGCCGCGUGUGUGAAGAAGGCCUUCGGGUUGUAAAGCACUUUAAGCGAGGAGGAAGGUUCGUCACCUAAUACGUGACGGAAUUGACGUUACUCGCAGAAUAAGCACCGGCUAACUCUGUGCCAGCCGCCGCCGUAAUAC
rnacentral:rRNA from 1 species